GGAGCAGAGGGGAUGGGACCUGAGAAGGAAGGGAAGGGCUUGGAGAUGGAAGGUUGCAAGGGGCUGGGAGAAGCUGUGGUAAGUGGACAGUGACAGAGGGGUGACAGGAGAGGGGAGGGGGGUCUGGGAACACAGAAGUGCUAGGGCUGCAGAGGGAGAGACGCUGGGGGUCAGAGGUGGAAGCAGGCACUGAGAUGAGGAAGCCGGGAGUAGACACCUGAGAUGAAGGGGACAGGGAUGGGCGGACAUGGGACAGUGUUGGGGUUGCCUGCCCCAGAGGCAAUGGAAGGCGGGUAAUGGGAAAAGAAGGGAAGGUUGCCGAAGGGACAGAGGGGGACAGAGACAGAUAUGAAAGACAAGGGCAGAAGCAAUGGGACAUGUCAGAGGCAAAGACGACAGAUGGGACAGAGGCAGGUGGGAGGGGGAAGCGACAGACCAGCAAUGGGAAGGUGAAAGUGAGGCAGAGGUGGAGGUAAGACAGAUGGAGAGGUGAUAGGGGCAGGAUGGAGGUGAUGAAGAGGGAGAUGGAAAGGAUGGAGGAACGGGCGUGGAGGCGGUGGGGGACACGGUGGAGACGGCCAACGUGGGGACAGGCGGUGCAGGUGUGUGCCAAGCUGAGCUACCCGGAGGGGAGAGGCCUGACCACAGCAUGGCAGCCAGGCCCCAACUGCCCCUGAGCGGGCUGUCUGGAAGGCUUUGGCAGACACAGAGAACAGCAGGUCAGAAGAGAGAAAUCCGAGGGACAGAGUGGGGACAAAGGUCCCAGGGCUGGCCAUGCCUGAGAACUCCAGGAAGGCGCUGAGGGAGACAUGUUUUCAAAGGGGAAGGCGAACCGGCCUCCUGUCAAGAGCCCCUGUCCCUGGAACAAGUAGGUUUCCCGUGUGGGAUUCAUGAAAAGCCGGCAGUGUGGGGACCGAGGCAAGGGCACUGCGACUACCUCCACGGAUCUACUGUCCCUCCCCAGGCCCCACUCCCUGUGCCUAACGUAGAGAAACACAGUUUUCUUGCGUGUGUUUGCAUGUGUGAG